UCCCUGGUGGUCCAGUGGUUAAGACUCCAACCUCACAGUGCAGGCAGCCCGGGUUCAACCCCUGGUCAGGGAA
rnacentral:tRNA from 1 species